CGACCGAAAAAUGACCGAACCGAUCGGUUUUCGGUCGGUUUUUUUGUACUGGGCGGUCGGUUCGGCCCAAAAUAUGCAGAAAUUUUGAUUUGGUCGGUCGGUUCGGUUUUCUCAAUUUUGGCCGGUCGAAAACCGAACCGACCGACCAUAAUGUAAAGUACUAGGGUUUUUUUUUCCCCACUAAUUAUCCUUCUCUCCCUAACGGACCUAACCUAAUUCUUCUCCAGUUUCCUCUCACUGCGCCGCACCCCGCACGCCCUCAGCGCCAGACCCCGCACGCCCUCCCCCCCAUUCCUAACCCUACCCGGCUCACCCCUACGGACAACCACCGGCCGGCGAAUCCGAAGCCCAGCCCAGUCCGAGGCCGCGCCGAACAGCAGCCUGGAACUCGCAGCCCUCGCCGCGAAGAAGCCCACAGCCGUCGUCGCCGCGCCCAGCCCGCAGCCGUCGUCGUCCAGAACACAGGUGAGUUUCUGUAAUUCCGUUUAGUUUAGUUUUUGUUGAAUGUUAAGAAAUGAAAAUGGGGACAAAUUUGAUAGUUUAGUUGGAAGAUUGUUGUUAGUUUUCGGCCGGUUCGGUUCGGUCGGCCGAAAACCGACAAUUGGCCGGUUCGGUUUUCGGCCGGUUUGAAUGUGGAGUUUUGGUCGGUCGGCCUGAAUUUUUGUGGACCGGUCGGUCGG
rnacentral:lncRNA from 1 species